rnacentral:rRNA from 1 species
AUGAACGCUGGCGGCGUGCCUAAUACCUGCAAGUCGCGCGAACAGACGAGGAGCUUGCUCCUCUGACGUUAGCGGCGGACGGGUGAGUAACACGUGGAUAACCUACCUAUAAGACUGGGAUAACUUCGGGAAACCGGAGCUAAUACCGGAUAAUAUAUUGAACCGCAUGGUUCAAUAGUGAAAGACGGUUUUGCUGUCACUUAUAGAUGGAUCCGCGCCGCAUUAGCUAAUUGGUAAGGUAACGGCUUACCAAGGCAACGAUGCGUAGCCGACCUGAGAGGGUGAUCGGCCACACUGGAACUGAGACACGGUCCAGACUCCUACGGGAGGCAGCAGUAGGGAAUCUUCCGCAAUGGGCGAAAGCCUGACGGAGCAACGCCGCGUGAGUGAUGAAGGUCUUCGGAUCGUAAAACUCUGUUAUUAGGGAAGAACAAAUGUGUAAGUAACUAUGCACGUCUUGACGGUACCUAAUCAGAAAGCCACGGCUAACUACGUG